CGGAAUUACCUCGAUUUUGUACAAAAUAGUCAAUUAAAUUAACUGUGAAAGGCUAUUUAUUUUAACCCGGGGAUACUUUUUUUUUCUCUUGUUCUCUCCUCUCAUAGAUGUUGUAUAAAAAAAGGCAGCAGAUGAGGAGAAAUUGGCAGGAGAACAAAGAGAGGGGAAUCAAGUGGAAGUUUGAGAGCUGGAGUUAUACUGCCAUCAGGUGGAUAAAAGUACACACUGCAGGUAUGUCUCAAUAAAAAGGACAAUUGUGGAGAAGAAAUCACACUUUUUUUUUUUUGUUCAUUACAGCCUGUUUUUUUUUUCUUCAUGUCAUCAGUUUCUCAUUUAAUUUCUUGUUCGUCUGAGCUCUCUGAAACCAGUUUAAGUUGUCCUGUUUUCAUCUGGUAUCUGAUAGAUACCUCAGAUCAAGGGUUGCUCACUUUUGAUGCAAAAUUACAAUGAAUCCAUAAUCAAUUGGUGGCCAUUUAUGGUGAAAAAGUCUACUUUUCAGGUGUAAGUGUUGUGUUAGCAGAGGCCAAACAGAAAAAACAGAGCAGAAAAAGAUAGAAAGACUACAUGUGUGAUGCUUCCAUGUACAUAAUGAGUCUAAAAUAUGUUCAAACAUAUUGAAAAAAGGCAAAUAAACAUGGGAAUACAGUUACACUAUGUUAUCCUUAUUAUAGAAGACACAGGUUAAACCUCUUAUUGACCACCUCUUGAAUAAAAGUUUAUUUCAUAAGAGGUGGAAAAACAACUUAGCUGUGGUCUUUACAUUUAAUUUGGCUUCACCAAAUAAAAUGAAAAUUUUUGAUAACAUAUUUUUACAAGUUAGAUGAUUGAUACUGACUGUUAAACACAAAAGGAUCACACAAAGUUGCAUAUUCAUUCAACAUGUUAAAGUUGCUGAGUGGAGUUUUUUCUCAUUUAUGAAACUGACUUACUCACACUAAUGCCUUUAAAUGUCAGACAGCAUGUGAAGAACAAGAUAAGCAAAGACUGCUUUGGGGGCACCAAAGUUGACACAAACCUAAAGUUCCUCACAGGUGCAUUAAACAUCUUAUCAACAUAUAAUCCAUGAAACUAAAUUAAAGUAGUGGAAUUGUUGUAAACCAUAUGACCUCAAGUAUUUAUUCAAUGACAUUGUAUGUUAUGGUAAAGAUACAACUGUUUCUAUGGCAUGCUAUAUACCAUUAAAGGCACAAUGAGAAGUUUUUGACUGGUUGAGAAAUGGACUUGAACUCAUACAGAUGUCUUUUUAUGACCCUCAAAAGCAAACAAGACCAUCAGCAGUAAGACCAAUAAUUUGCCUGAAACUGCUUUGAGGAAGUAGACCAGAUGAUUAACAGCAGGGUGAAGAAACAGCUGUCACUGCAUGUACUCAAACAGCGUGAUACAUUUCACUGUGAAAAGAUGACUGAAUGAGGUUUUUGUCUGAAAACACAAGUUUUCACAGCAGCUUUAAUAAACACAAAGAUCCUGUUAAUAAGAGCUCCAUGUCCAAAACUCUUCUUCUGGCUUAUAUUGAAAAAUUUUUAAAAUCUAAAUAAAUACUUACAACAUGAGAGACCUCACAAAUUUUACAGUUUUAUUCCUGUACAAAGUGGAGUCCAGCAAUAUGGUCAGCAGCACACAGGACAAGAAGAGAUUCCAUUCAACAACAACCAGAAACCAAACAAACAAAACUGGAAAUUCUCCAAUCUCUCAAAUGUCACUGGUGACAUGUUGUAAUCCACAGAGAGCGUGAUUGGCUUUGAAAAUAUAUCACACAUCAGGAAACUCUGCUAAGAUAAUCUUUGGAGCCAUAAAAAAUCUGGAUUUAUCUGGGAAAAUUGUGCCUAAAACAGCUUGAUUAUCAUAAAAAGAACAUGUAAUGUUAAGUCUGUCCUUCUAACACGUUACAAAUUCCUGCAUUUAAUAUUAAUGAUCCAAAAUAGUAAGACUGUGUUUGAUUUUUUCUUUUGUUAAUCUAUUUGUUGCAAUUUUAACAUAGCGAUCAUUAAGUCAAAUGCAGCACCCCAUCUAUAGCUUCACAAAAUCAACAAAAGUCUGAAUUUUCUUAAGGUGAACAUUAAGUCAGGUCCCAUUUGAGGGCUGACUGCAUAAGAAUCAAAAUAUCUGUGUCCUGACCUUCUUUUGUCAGUUGGAACCACAAGUCUUCAAUGACUCCAUCAAUUAUCAGAGCUUGGAUAAAAAGACAUUUGAAUCCAAAACCCAUGUUAAAAAACCACAACUGAAAGAGAUUUAUCAUCAGAGCUUAGUCCCAUCAAUAAGAGAAGUACAGUUGAUUUACAGGAUUCAAUGUGGUGGUUUGAGUUUUCCACAUAUUAAUGUGCCCUAAAUCGUCAUGCUUAAAAACAAUUAAAGGACAAGUCUGCCUGUAAUGUUACAAAUAUUACAAUGUUCAAGGAGGUUUGAUUUACAUGAUUUAAUGAAGAGUACAUUAUUUUGAGUAUCUGGUGAACAUCUCUUAAAGAAAUAGGAAAUCCAUUCUUGCAAUAAAGAUAGAAAAAUGACCCUUCAAUGAAACAAAGUAGGAUUAUUUCACUACAUUUUCUGUUUUCUUAUAACUACUUAGAUAACAUAACAUUCGGCAAUAACAUGUAAAAUCAUAUCUUCCCCUACUACACCAAGGUGACUGGGAAAAAAACAUAUUUAAACUCCUCUUUGGCAAGCAGUGGCACAUUUUCCUCUUAAUCCUUAUAAGAUAUCCACUCACAGCACCCUUCACAUUUAAAUACAAGGUGUAAAUGGGCUUUAAAAGAAUAUACAGCACAAUGAUGUGUGUUUGUACAGCUCAACAAGAGGGAGAUUUAUCUUCUAACAAAGGCCCCCUAACACAAACUGACAUCCAAAUGAAAACAAAUAGACAAAAAGCACAAUGCAGCAACAGAAACGUGAGGCUGUGCACACACACAUGCGCACACUGCUGUCUGGUUAAAUGAGGCGUGCUGUGAUACACUGUUGGUGAAUGUGUGUGACAGUAAGACAGAGAGAAUAAUUGUGACUGCGAGAUAGAGCAAAUGAUGUGUUGGAGGGAAGUAAACAAUGCCAGUUCCUGUGAUAGACGGUGCAACACUUUCCGACUCAUUGACUUUGAAUAAUUUUUCACAUCAAAUGAAAAGUAAUUACAACACAACAACUCAUGUUGGAUGGUUUCCGGAGUGUAUGUUUGUGUGAGGGUGUGUGUGUGUGUGUGUACAGCAAGAUUGGUCAGUGAUUUCACUGAGCUUGUUCAGACUCUGUACACACAAUGGGCUUGAUACUGAAGACUGUUUAAAACUUACACCUACAAGCAGUGUUGGGUAAAGACACCUGAGUAAAAGUACAAAUACCACACCAGAAAAUGACAGGCAGAGGAGAGAGUUGGCUGUUUAAAUCUGGGAUGCGCAAAAUACAAUAAUUUAAAGAACUUUCAUCUGAUAAUGAACGUAUUUUUUAUUUAAGUUAAUUUCUAACGAUGUAGGAAGUGAAAAGUGAGACAUACUGCAAGAGUUGUGACCACUGUGACACGGACUACAGGAUACUUUAUGCUAUGUGUUAGAUACCAUAGACAGUAUAAGAUGUGAACCAAGUAAACCCUAACCCUGUUUGUGAAUCAGAGUUUUGAAUUUUGUUGCCAUAUUGGUAAACGUGACUCAACCUAACUUCCUGUCAGUCUAACAGAGGCGGGCCUGAAAAGUAGCCCCCUCAUAAACAGUGAGCAGUGUGCUCACCUGUCUGUCAAGUAAGCCGUGCCUCUGGUUCGCCGCUUUAUGUAAUUUUAACAACCUUGAAAAGAGUAACCCCCCAUACAGUGGGUGCUGUGAGAGACCACAUUUGUUUUUUUGAACCACCCUUUUUAAAAAUAUUUAUUAUUGCUCUACUUUUUGGCUUAGUGUGUAUGUGGUUUCUGGUGUGGCUGCAGCCAGUAUCAAGCAAGCACUCAGUGCUAUAACAACGAACAUGGUAAUAAUGUAUGUAGAGAUAAUAAUGUAUCUGUUGAGUAAGAUGCAAAAUCAGAGGCAGCAUUGGCACCAUCAAAUCCGUAUUUUCAUCCAGCUCUGCUUCAGUCUGUUGUUCAGGCGUUGGAGCCAAGCCAACAAUGCUAUCAUUGCCACUGUAGAGAAUUUGGGGGGGUAUACAGUAGUCUUGGGCACAAAUGUCAUUGCAUGUGUGUGUGUGUGUGUGUGUGUGUGUGUGUGUGUGUGUGUGUGUGUGUGUGUGUGUGUGUGUGUGUGUGUGUGUGUGUGUGUGUGUAUGUGUGUCCACCCCUCUUUAAUUCCCCCCCUUAACACUAACCUAACCCCCCCCCCAUUAACGUUUAACAAAUGAGCAACUUGUUCUAUUUAUUUCGAUCAGCCUUGACUACAGCCUUUUGGAGCAAGGAUUCUCUUACAAACAGUCAGCAGUAUGGCAGAUCACAGCAAGCUAUUUUUUAGUGUUAGUUAUCUUUGCAUCUUGUCAUGAUCACAUAACUUGUUUAAUCAGCUACUAUCUCUCCCAUGCUCGUAUUAGUGUCUACACACUCAGAUCAAUACAGCCUAACUCCAGUGAUAUCAGCAGCUGCGUCCUCACCAACCCCUUCAACAGAGGCUGAUCUAUGUACCCCAUCAGGUAAAACAUAGACUGUCCUGUGCAACUGUGUCAACCCCUCCACAGGAUCUUCAACCUGAGACUACAGCUGAGGCAGGUACCUGCUCUGUGGAAAACAUCCUGUAUUAUGC